rnacentral:lncRNA from 1 species
UUUUAGUUAAACUGUUUCACCUCAUUUUUAUGCUGAGUUUUGUAAAGUAGGUAUUCUUGCUGAACAGAGUCCUGAAAAUCAAACUAUACAAGUAGUAGGAAGUCCAUUAAGCUGUUUAGAGGAAAAAGUGUUAUAAAUGGCAGUUAAAUGAACCCAGGAAAGACCCAUCCUCCUUUGUGGCUUUCUCUGAGGCCCCAUGAGGCCAAGCAGAAGCAAACUGGCUCUAGGUGCAGCCAGACUUUGAAAAGGAAUCCCGGCCAGGCUUGGUGGCUCAUGCCUGUAAUCCCAGCACUUUGGGAGGUCAAGGCAGGCAGAUCACCUGAGGUCAGGAGUUCAAGACCAGCCUGGCCAACAUGGCGAAACACUGUUUCUACUAAAAAUAUGAAAAUUAGCUGGGUGUGCUGGUAGGCGCCUGUAAUCACAGCUACUUGGGAGGCUGAGGCGGGAGAAUCGCUCAAACCUGGGAGGCAGAGGUUGCAGUGGGCUGAGAUCUCGCCACUGUACUCCAGCCUGGGCGACAGACCAAGGCUCUGUCUCAAAAAAAAAAAAAAAAAAAAAAAAAGGGAAUCCCAACCAGAUACUGGUGCAAGGUCAGAGAUGCAGCCAAUGGGGAGAUUUGUAGAAAGCUCAUAGAUGCUAAAAACAUGGGUCUUUAGGAAAAUUAGAAUUCAGCUGAGCCUCCUUUCAUUUGGACAAUGUUCAGAAGCUCUUACAGGGGGCUAUGGCAAUCUUUUGAUGCUUCUUAUAGCUUUCUGAGGUUAACGCUUUUGUGGUGGGCAUCGGUAGCAAUAAAAUGCAAACUUUAUUGCAUUUCCAGUAAAAUCUCUCCCACUUUGAGCAGGAAGCACUCACAAAAAACGCAUAUACAUGUCAACGUUGUGAGCUCAUCAGAGUUUUAGAAAUCAACUUCCACAGUGAAAGCCAAUGUAGGCAGAAGGUUUAUAACAGAAUCCCCAGGCAGAGAAGUGAAUUUCAGAGCAUUUCAGGGAGGAAACUCCUCUGCACAUGUCAGCAUGUUUAACAUCGAUGAUGGCAGGUUGUGUGCUGGCAGCCAGAGUCUGAGGCCACUGUCCAAAGUUCAGCGUCAGUGGUUCCUGUUGCUGGUCAUGGAGAGAGACAACUGGAAAGUCAGGUGUCUUCACGCUCUAACUAGAGCACAGGGAUGGACCAUAGCCAUGCUAACCUUUGUUAACCCCUAGGACUUGUCAAGGUGUUUAAGCAGUAGGAAUGAG